rnacentral:rRNA from 1 species
AGCAUUAUUCUAUUAGUUAAUAGCAGGUUGAUUGUGCCUUUUGCAUCAUGCUUAGGCGAUUGUAAUAAGACAUUCUUUUUAAUCGAAAGCUUUGGAUCUUAAUAAUUCUUGAUUAGUAUGAUGCCGGGUAGGCUGUAUGUAAAGUAUUAUUAUGUUGUGAUAAAUCAUACGGCAGAGCUUAUAGCUAUUUUAUGACUCUAAUCUUUGAAAUAUCACUCAGGCGAUGAUGUCUGGGUGAGGUGUAUACAUUUUAUAAGUGAUGAUUUGAAUUUAAGGUUAAAAUUACCUUUAUUUUGAGAAUCUGUUAAAAGUUUUUUUAGUUAUUUACGUAGCGUUACAUAAAAAGUCAUAUUUUUUAAUUCAUUGUUAAUUAAUAAUGCUUAAAUAAGUAAUAUUAAUAUUUUCAUUGUUUCUCAAGUAUCUCCCGUCUGUUUAUUAAAAACAUUUCCAUAAUAAAGUUUUUAUGGUAGUACCUGCUCUAUGUAUUUAUAAAUGGCCGCAGUAUAUUGACUGUGCGAAGGUAGCAUAAUUAAUUGCCUCAUAAUUGGAGGCUUGUCUGAAUGGUUUGACGAGGGGAUUAUGAACAUUGUAGAUUUUGUUGAAAUUACUAUGGAGGGUACAGAAGCCUCUAUAAUUAAUUAGACGGAAAGACCCCGGGAUCUUCUAAUUUUGCCUGGGGCAGGUAUAUAUAUUUCAAGUUUAUUAUGACCCUUAAAUUUGGUAUAGUGAGUCAAGUUACCCCGGGGAUAACAGUAUAAUAGCUUAAUAGAGAUCUUAUCGAAUAAGCUGUUUGUCACCUCGAUGUUGACUUAGAAUUAAGCUUUGGCGCAGUAGCUUUAGUUUCAGGUCUGUUCGACCUAAUAUUUCUCCAUGAGUUGAGUUAAGACCGGUGUAAGCCAGGUCGGUUCUUAUCUAUUGAUCUAGUUUAUUAGUACGAAAGGACCAUAAAUUGUUUUUUU